UACGGCAUGGACUACGAGGGUAUCUAAUCCUCUUCGCUACCCAUGCUUUCGUUCCUCAGUGUCAGUAAUGAUCCAGAAAGCUGCCUUCGCAAUUGGUAUUCUUUCUAAUAUCUACGAAUUUCACCUCUACACUAGAAAUUCUGCUUUCCUCUAUCAUACUCUAGCUGAAAAGUUUUGAUGGCAGUUCCAGAGUUAAGCUCUGGGAUUUCACCACCAACUUUUUCAACCACCUACGAACUCUUUAAGCCCAGUAAUUCCGAACUACGCUAGGUCCCUUCGUAUUACCGCGGCUGCUGGCACGAAGUUAGCCGGACCUUCUUAUUCGGGUACAGUCAUUUUCUUCCCCGACGAAAGAGCUUUACAACCCAAAGGCCUUCUUCACUCACGCGGCAUCGCUGCAUCAGAGUUUCCUCCAUUGUGCAAGAUUCCCCACUGCUGCCUCCCGUAGGAGUUUGGGCCGUGUCUCAGUCCCAAUGUGGCUGAUCAUCCUCUCAAAUCAGCUAUUGAUCAUAGUCUUGGUAGGCCAUUACCCUACCAACAAACUAAUCAAGUGCGGGCUCAUCUGAUAGCGUGAGGCUCGAAAGUCCCCCACUUUACUACGAAUAGAUUAUGCGGUAUUAAUCCGAAUUUCUUCGGGCUAUCCCCCACUAUCAGGUAGAUUCCUACGCGUUACUCACCCGUCCGCCACUCGACGCCUACUAGCAAGCUAGUAUCGUCUCCGUUCGACUUGCAUGUGUUAAGCAUACCGCCAGCGUUCAAUCUGAGCCAGGAUCAAACUCU
rnacentral:rRNA from 1 species